AGGGACUUUAAACACAUAAUGGGUGAAGACCAAACCCAUUUUGGUGGAAGUCUGCCACAAGUACAUAGGAAACAACAAAAAGCCAAAAAAAAGGUCAAGCAUGGAUUCGUGGCUGAACUUUGAGAUUAAAAAGUGGGAGAAGCUUUAGCUAUGAAAUUGGUACUGCCAAACUCAACAAAAUACACAAAUAGCUCUUUGGCUUCUGCAUGUUGUGUUAGGCAAAGAAACCCAAUUCAUGUUGCACAUGAGGAAAAGAAAGAAGAAAUGGCUUACAGGACUCACU
rnacentral:lncRNA from 1 species